AAGGGCACUCUAAUGAGACUGCCGGUGACAAACCCGGAGGAAGGUGGGGAUGACGUCAAGUCCUCAUGGCCCUUAUAGGUGGGGCUACACACGUCAUACAAUGGCUGGUACAAAGGGUUGCCAACCCGCGAGGGGGAGCCAAUCCCAUAAAGCCAGUCGUAGUCCGGAUCGCAGUCUGCAACUCGACUGCGUGAAGUCGGAAUCGCUAGUAAUCGUGGAUCAGCAUGUCACGGUGAAUACGUUCCCGGGUCUU
rnacentral:rRNA from 1 species